rnacentral:tRNA from 1 species
UUAAUUGAAGCCAAAUAGAGGCAACUUAUUGUUAAUAAGAAUAUUGAGAACUUAUCUCCAAUUAAA